rnacentral:rRNA from 1 species
AGAGUUUGAUCAUGGCUCAGGAUGAACGCUAGCUACAGGCUUAACACAUGCAAGUCGAGGGGAAACGACAUCGAAAGCUUGCUUUUGAUGGGCGUCGACCGGCGCACGGGUGAGUAACGCGUAUCCAACCUGCCCACCACUUGGGGAUAACCGUUGCGAAAGUAAGGCUAAUACCCAAUGAUAUCUCUAGAAGACAUCUGAAAGAGAUUAAAGAUUCAUCGGUGAUGGAUGGGGAGUGCGUCUGAUUAGCUUGUUGGCGGGGUAACAGCCCACCAAGGCAACGAUCAGUAGGGGUUCUGAGAGGAAGGUCCCCCACAUUGGAACUGAGACACGGUCCAAACUCCUACGGGAGGCAGCA